UCAUCAUGGUUCAUUAUGCAUUCUGCGAUCCCUGUUGUCCCUGCUAGGAAACAGUUCCCACGGAGGUUUAGUGUGAAACAGAAGCCAUUGGUUCACACAGACCACAGUCAUUAAACUUGAUAUCCACACCUUGCCUCCACACAGCUCCCCUGAUUUCAUUUCUGCUGUGCUCAGUGGCACGCUGGCUGUUGGAGCACAGCCUCUCUGCAUGGCGUAGGAAAGGCAUGGAACCGUGGCACCGGAGCUAAGCCCUGGGCAGAGGAACAAAGGCUGAGAGAGAGAUAAGAGGAGCACCCCGUGCUUUGGGCUCCCUGGCAUGCUCCUGCCACCUGCUGGCGCCUUGGAUAAUCCUGUUUUUGCAGUGCAUUGGUCGUGCAUGCUGCUAAAUGAGCGCUGUGCAUUCUCAUUCCCAGUUGCACUAAAAGACAGAGGACGAGAGAGAAUAGAGGCUUGUGAACCUGGAGAUGAAAAUACGCCAUUAAUAUUCUGACUGACGAGUCGAGCUAAGCAGGGAAGCCAGUCAGAACCUGGAGACUCAGGGACUACCACCAGCCUCUCAGACAGCCAUACACACACAUGCCCAUCCAUUUGUGUGUGUGUGCAUGUUAAGAACCCCACCAUGGAGAGCAGGUUGGGGGUCGGAAACAGGGAGUCCCAAGGGUCGCCCAUUGUUCUCUUCCAUGGCUCCAGCGUGGUCUGGGCUGAGGACUUACUAGGGUGAGCCCCGGACAAUGUGCUCAUGUCUCCGCGGGCGUUGGACGCCAGCCACAGAACCUCUCAUCAACUCUCCACACCUCGUCAGCCACUUCGCACACACACACACACACACUGGCGCGGCUCGGGCGCUGCUGACUCCAGCCUCCCCCCUGCGGCGGACCCCUCUCGCUGUGCGAAUGCUCAUUAGCGUGAGGACAAUUAUGUAACACCAUCAGUCUUCAUCACAUCGCUCCCCGAGUGGUGCCGGCCAGGCAGCGGAAACAGACACACAGAGCUGUGGGACGGCAGUAGAACCUGGCUGAUAUCACCCGGAGCAGAUCUCUGGCUGAGUUGAGGAGUUAAAGACUUAGGGGGACAAGCAAUGGGCCAGCAGGGCAUGCGAUGUACACAUCAUUUGGGGAUGGGAGAGUGGAUCUCAGUCCCGAGCCCUGGUUUGCAAGUGGGUGGAUGGUGGAGGGAGCGGAGAGGAGAGAACACUGGCUAAACAUUUUAUCAGUGACCUUUGACCUGUGUGGUCACUCCUGCUUUGACAGGUUACUAACACAGAUGCGAGUCCUUGGUCAAAGUCAGAUGGAAGAGCUUGAUGGAAAAGAGGCGGUUUUAAUUUAUUAGGACCUUAAAUGGAGGCCUACUUCUGCCCUCUCAGCAGUCUGUAGUCAUGAUGAUGGAUCACCUCAGCUCUCUCUCACACACACACACAAACACGGACACACACACACGCACAGCCUGAGUGGACAAUGAGACCCACCCUGUAGUGGGAUCACAUGGUAAGUCUGACAUCAGUGCAUGUCUGACGCAUUUAGAUGGUUUAUUCAGUGUUCUUCAGCUGUCAGCCGUCAGACAGAUUUUUUUUAUACACCACACACAUGUGCCUGGCGGGAAUACAAAUAGAAUCCUACAGAGAAAAAGACAGUUGAUGGUAUCAACUGUGACACUGAAAGAGUCUACAGGUGGAUCUGGAAUAUUUUCCAAACUGUUCCA